UUUUUUUUGGCUCCUCCAUCCCGGGGUAUUUUCAUAACAUAUAAUGGUGCAAACUAUUAUAUAGAAAAUAUACCAUGAGCAUACUGGAUAUGACCCGAAAGAUGGUGAACUAUGCCUGAUCAGGUUGAAGUCAGGGGAAACCCUGAUGGAGGACCGAAGCAAUUCUGACGUGCAAAUCG
rnacentral:rRNA from 1 species